UUAUUGAUUUCGUACAUUUUAUUACCAUUGCACCAUUUAUACAAGUACAUAGAACUUUGAAUGCACCAAUUUCUCUUCUUUUUUUUGUGUGUGUGGUCUUUGCUGUGGUUUUUGAGUGACAGUUGGCAUGGAGACAUGGAAUGACAACAUCAACUGCAGUCGCCCAUUGGUUGCGGACUGAAAACAAAAAGGAUAACAUUUUGUUUCGUUCCCCACUGGACCAAAAGACGAGACCACGACAUGCUUCUGCUGAGAGGGGCGGAGCCUCUGAGUCUGGUGGGAUCUGAUGCUCUACAUACACAUAGGUGUGUGUGACAUCACCAGAGCCUAAUACACCUGCAUGCACGUAGAUGUGUAUACACACUCGCACGGUAUAUCGGUCGGUAUACACACCUACAUAUAUACAGGUCUACUGGCACCUACAUACCCAUAGGUUCUUGUAACAUAAACCCAUAUAUAUAUUUAUACAUAUAUAGGUAAAUAUAUACACCUAAAUAUAGGUAAAUAUAAUCACCUACGUAUAUCUAGGUCUGUAUACACAUACUUAUACACAGGUAAAUAUACACGUGUAGAUAUGUCUACUGACACCUACAUAUAUAUACAGGUCUAUAUAAACUCCUACAUGUACACAGGUGUAGUACAGGUAUAUGCACACCUACAUGUAUGUAUCAUGUUAGCGGGGAGGGGGGAAAGGGGGGGGUUGGAGGGUCUCCUCCCAUGCAGGAUGGCCAUGGCAUCCCAUAAUGCUACCGUGACCAUGGUAACGUGUCUCCAAAAGGUUGGUAGUGAUCACAUAGGGGUCUCUUUAUGGUUCCGGCCCCGACAGCUUAACCUCCUUCUGGGAGUAUUACAGGAACAUUCAGGGAGUAUUAUGGGAAUAUUGCUGGAACAUCACAGGAAUAGGAUCCUCGUGUGUGAUCUGGUCAGAGGAGGUCAGACCCGCAGCCUUUUAUGUAAACUGUGUUUUGGGAAUCUGCUCGGAUUUCCAGACCGCACCAGUCCAUCCUGUCGACCAUAACUCACCCAGCGCCGACCAUAACUCACCUAGCACCUAGCCCCGAGGUGGUAAGCACCUCCCCUCCGCCGCUCAGUCGGGGUUAAACAAGCGCCCCCGUGGGUGGGUCCCAGUGCUGGUGUACGGUAGAUACGUCUGCUAGCGUAAACACAGGCGGCCAUUAAGAGCGCCUGGAGUCAGACAGACGGCGGGACGGUUUAUCAGGGGGGCGUGUGGCGAGGUGUCCGGCCGCCAUCGAGGGAUUUAUCACUGUCUUAACGACCGUAACGCUCCUGAUGACUUCAUGUGUGAGUGCGGGGGCAGCGCUCUGCGUUGGAGAGCGAGGAAGAGGAGGAGGAGGAGGAGACUGAAGAGAGGAGGUGAGGGCUGCAGGGAGGAGGAGGAGACUGAAGAGAGGAGGAGGAGGAGACUGAAGAGAGGAGGUGAGGGCUUCAGGGAGGAGGAGGAGGUGGUUCUGUGUCAGAGUUUGAGUCAGGACGCGACCAUGCUCCUGGUCCCCCCCAGGGCCUCUCUCCGCCCCCCCCCUCCUUCCCGAGCCGGCGGUCCGGGCCCCCCUGGGGCACCCAGGGGUGGGGCCGACACAGCACCAGGACCGGGUGGGGUGGUCCAAUAGGAGGGGCGUUGGGGUCUGGGGGGGGGGUGGAUGGAGAUGGGAGACAUCGACUCGUAUCAAAGUUCAAAUACUACAGCAGAAAAAAUAGAAUAAAACAUCGUAAUAAGUAUAACAAUAAUAAUAGUAGUAAUAUCCGCUGAGCGUGGCCCACUCUUCCCAAGAUGGCGGCCGCCGGAUGCUCACCCUUCAUCAAAUCACAAUCAUCAUCAUCAUCAUCAUCAUCAUAACAGGUAUUAUUAUUAUCAUGGUUAUUCUGGUAAUAUGGGCGGGGCUAAUUCAAUGGUUUCUUCAUCAUUCUGUGGUUGUUUCACGGAGGGGGAGAGGGGCUGAGUGACAGCUGUCCGUCACUCUGGGACGGCGACGCUCUUCUCGGCGCGGGCGUCUCCGUGGCGUCGGGCUCCUUCGCGUCGCCAGGGCGACGGGCGCCGGCGUGGAGUUGGCGACGGCGCGGCUGCGGCGGCGGGGUGGGGGCAGGGGUGGGGCGGGGCGGGGUCUGCGGCGGGGCGGGGCGGGAGCUGCGGCGGGCUCGGGGGCUGCGGCGGCGGCGGGCUGCGGCGCCUCGGCCUUCACCACUGGAGCCGCGGGGGCGUCCGUCUUCUUAGCGUCGGCCUCGUCCUUCUUCUCGGCGGCGGGCGCAGCGGCAGCGGGGGUCGGCGCGGCGGCGGCCUUCGGCUCAGGCUCCUUGACGGCGGCGGCGGGCGGGGCCGCCUCCUUGGCGGCGGGCUUCUCCUCGGCCUUGGCGGGCUCCGCCUCCUUGGCGGCCGGGGGCUCUGCGGCAGCGGCGUCGUUUUUCUCGGGCUCCUUGGCGUCGUUCUUCUCGGGCUCGGUGGCGGCGGGGGCCUCCUUGGCCGCCGUGUCGUUAGCCUCCUUGCCGUCGGCGGUGGGCGUGGCAGCGGUGGCGUCCCCGGUCGCCGCCUCGCUCUCCUCCCCGGCGGCCUUGGCGUCCUUCUCCUUGCCGGCCUCGUCGUUGACGCUGUAGCCCUUCUUCUUCUUGCUCAGCUUGCCUCCCAUGGUGCCGUCGGACUCUGCAACACAAAGGGGGGCACGGUGAGACCAGC
ensembl:lncRNA